UACGUAGGGUGCGAGCGUUGUCCGGAAUUACUGGGCGUAAAGAGCUCGUAGGUGGUUUGUCGCGUUGUUCGUGAAAACCGGGGGCUUAACCCUCGGCGUGCGGGCGAUACGGGCAGACUGGAGUACUGCAGGGGAGACUGGAAUUCCUGGUGUAGCGGUGGAAUGCGCAGAUAUCAGGAAGAACACCAAUGGCGAAAGCAGCUUUCUGGGACGGUACUGACGCUGAGACGCGAAAGCGUGGGGAGCAAACAGG
rnacentral:rRNA from 1 species